GGUCCCCUAGCUCAAUUGGUCAGAGCAUUGUACUUAUAGGGAUAUCUCUGCCUUGUCAUGCAAGGGUUCCGAGUUCGAUCCUCGGGGGGACCA